CAGUAGCCGCGGUAAUACGAAGGGGGCUAGCGUUGUUCGGAUUUACUGGGCGUAAAGGGUGCGUAGGCGGACUGAUAAGUCAGGGGUGAAAUCCCAAGGCUCAACCUUGGAACUGCCUUUGAUACUGUUAGUCUUGAGUUCGAGAGAGGUGAGUGGAACUGCGAGUGUAGAGGUGAAAUUCGUAGAUAUUCGCAGGAACACCAGUGGCGAAGGCGGCUCACUGGCUCGAAACUGACGCUGAGGCACGAAAGCGUGGGGAGCAAACAGGAUUAGAUACCCCAGUAGUCCCUGUCUCUUAUAC
rnacentral:rRNA from 1 species